UCUCCCCUCGCCUUCCUCGCCUCCCGGCACCUGACCACGGUGCGCCUGGACGGCGUCAGGCUCUACGGGAAGGGGCUCCUGGAUUUCUCCCCUGCGCCGCGCUCCUGGAGCUCGGCCUCACGCGCUGCCGCCUCGGAGGCGACGAGGUCCCCUUCGUGUCCCCCUCGCUGGAGCGCCUCCGCGUCUCGUGUCCUGCCACAUGGAGGCGUCCAGCCGACGAUUCACGGAGCAGCCGGCGGUGACAGAACGGACGGUAUCAACGCCGAGUCUACGUUAUCUGCGGAUAUCCGAUGACCGCGAACCUCGCGAGCGAUUUCGCAAACUAAAUAAUCUCCUUCCCUGCCUUGGUGGACUCCUGAUGCACAGACUACUGCAGUUGUCUGUGACGACAAGAUGAACCUAAGAAUACAAUCUCUGAUUGAUCUUUGGUGAUGGCCAUCGUGUUGCUAGUUGAUGGGGCAUCCUCAAGCGCAUCCUCUGAACUGACUGCAACGGGGAGUUGCUUCCGAAACAGAGUUGGUGUCAGAAAUCAACUGAAGUUGAAGUCCCUGGCGGAUGACCGCAAAUUAGUACUGUUGACAAUUAAGCUCCGAAGGAAACGGCUAUAAAUACCUGCUCGGCACCAGAAUUGAUCCUGCUCCUUUCUCAGAGCUCUGGCUUCAAUUCUUCCUCCACCUUCGCUGCCAUGUGGUUCUGGUCAUCGGCCUCCUCUGUAGUGUUUGAGCUCCCUGGCAACACCUACCCUGUCCGCCGUUUCUACAUUGCCAUGAACAUUCGUGAACCCGCGAAACCCUACUUCCUCGACGUCGACACCGGUGGGGGUGCUCAUCACGUGGCUGGAGUGCGACACCACCUGCCGGAGCUGCCACCAGGUACACUGGAGUUAGGGCUGUUCAGAAACGGGUUGAGCUGAACCCAUGGAAACAGUCAGGUACCACACGAUCUGUACAAACCAAGACGGAUGAACAAGCUGCUAUGCGGAGACGAGCGAUGUGUCAAAGUGCACAAAGACCUGGACAUCGAGCAGGACUGCACCCUGGACCCUAACCAAUGUGAUUACGAGAUAGAAUACACCAACGGUGAGAACUCCAUGGGCGUGCUCCUCGCCGACACGUUCUCCCUCCCCACCACCACCAACGACCGCCUCAACCUUGCCUUCGGCUGUGGAUACGGCCAUCAAGGUGGGCAGGAGGUGACACCGGUGGAUGGCGUCCUCAGGAUCGGUCGGGAACGGGGGACUUCGUCUCACAGCUCAAGCAACAAGGGGUGAUCACCGAGAAUGUCGUCGUCUAUUGCCUCAGCGUCCAUGGAGGGGCCUACCUCUUUGUUGGGGGAGACAAUGUGCCCUCUUCGGGCAUGACCUGGGUUCCAAUGGAUUUACUACUCACCGGCCCACACAGCACACUCAACCUCAACGUACUGUAAGCAAGGAGCCAAUGGAAGUCGUCUUCGAUAGCGGUAGCACCUACAGCAUUGUUCUUGAGGAGACAUAUGCUCGACUUGUUUCAGCGGUGGGAGUCACUCUCCAGGGUUCAUCACUCGCGGAGGUGGUUGAUCCUAAUCCUGAGCUGCCUCGAUGCUGGCAAGAUAGUGAGAGAACUGAAUCUCCAAAGCUGUGCUUUCAGAAAUUUACUUGGCAUCUUUCAACCCAUUCGAGUGGCAUUUUUCGAAGAAUUAAUCUACAGAUUGUAGUUGCAUUUUUCAAAAGAUGAGAAUUGCAGUGGCUUUUUUUGAAUUCGCCAAAAUUGUAGUGGCAUAUAUCAUAUAAACCCAUGUACUUAUAUCAAAACAUUCAUACACUA